rnacentral:lncRNA from 1 species
AAAAAAAAAAAACUUUAUUUAUGUAAGCGCAAAAUAAAGUACAUCAAUUGUUUUAAAAUUUAAGAGAGAGAGAGAGAUCUCCAUUAACACUGUUUGCAUAAAAUUCUAAUUAUAGGAUUACACCAUUAUUCCAUCUCUCUAUGUUUCUCUCAAGAAGAAUUUUUGGCCUUGAAAAUACAUGAGCUAAAAGCUCUCAUGCCUUUACGUUAUGGCUUUUAAACCAAAUAUCUUCAUCACCACACUUCAAACCAGGGCCUCCUACUCACGCUGCCCCAUACAGUUCGCCUUCAAAAUGCACACCAGAUUAAGCUGUGAAUAGAUCAAACAAAUAAAUAAAACCAUACUCAAUAGCAUUUCUCCAGUCUUUCCUAUCAUCAUAUAUUUAUUAUACUGAAAAUAACAAAAUAUCAUUCACUUGAUCCAAAAUUAACUAUGAAAAGUAUUGCAGAAUCAAGGGGAAAAAAAUGGAAUCAAAAUGUAAAAAAAUGGGUGGGGCAUUUUUCAAACAUGAAAAAUCUUAGUGUAUCUUGAAGCAUAUUUUCAAGUAAGAAUGUCAUUCCAACUGCUCUCAAUAUGUGGGGCUUUCAGUGUGGUAGUUGCUUAUACAAACAUAAAUAUAGAGAAAAUCAAAAUGAAGAACGAACCCUACACCAAUAAAUCAAUCAAUACAUAAAUAAACAGAGUAAAUUCUUGAAGAAAAACCCAUAAAUAAAACCAAAAAAAUGAAAACAAAUGAUAUUGAGCUCGAUAUUCUUAUCUGGUGUGAAUGGAUAUUUCAUUGGUUGAUAUCACGUGAAUGUGAAAUAAAACCUACAAAAAAUCAUAUGGCGUAGGGUUCUUUCUUCUCAAAUCAUAUUGCGUAGGUUCUUUCAUCAUGUGAACGUGAAAUAAAAUCUACUAAAUCAAAAAAAAAAAACCUACCAAAAUCACAUCCAAAAAAGAAAAACACAUAAAGCUGCCAAAAUCUCACCUCUGAUAAUCUUGUUCACCAAAAAUGAAAACUACCAAAAUCUUGUAAAAACCUCAGCACAAAAAGAAAAACACAAAAAUGAAAAAUCUUUACCAAAAAAGCAAAACACAGAAAGCUACCAAAAUCUCACCUCUGAUGAUCUUGUUCCUAAAUAAAACUCUGCAUUUGAUAGCAAUGGAGAAGAGGAGCACUUCCAUGUUUGCAGGGGUAUUUUUUGUUUGGGAAAAUUGCAUAAAACCCUCAAAAAUAAACUUUAUAAGAACUUUACCCCCAACCUAGCCUUUCCUAGAAACUUUUUCCCCAAGGCCAUCUUUUCUAGCAAAUAAACCCCCAACUCAAAAAACAAAAAAAAAGCAAAAAACAAAAAAAAA